rnacentral:rRNA from 1 species
CGAACGCUGGCGGCAGGCCUAGCACAUGCAAGUCGAGCGAGACCUUCGGGUCUAGCGGCGGACGGGUGAGUAACGCGUGGGAAUAUGCCCUUUGGUACGGAAUAGCCUCGGGAAACUGAGAGUAAUACCGUAUGUGCCCUUCGGGGGAAAGAUUUAUCGCCAAAGGAUUAGCCCGCGUUGGAUUAGGUAGUUGGUGGGGUAAUGGCCUACCAAGCCUACGAUCCAUAGCUGGUUUGAGAGGAUGAUCAGCCACACUGGGACUGAGACACGGCCCAGACUCCUACGGGAGGCAGCAGUGGGGAAUCUUAGACAAUGGGGGCAACCCUGAUCUAGCCAUGCCGCGUGAGUGAUGAAGGCCUUAGGGUUGUAAAGCUCUUUCAGCUGGGAAGAUAAUGACGGUACCAGCAGAAGAAGCCCCGGCUAACUCCGUG